rnacentral:ncRNA from 2 species
UAGCACCAUUUGAAAUCGAUUA